rnacentral:rRNA from 1 species
UACAGAGGUCCCAAGCGUUGUUCGGAUUCACUGGGCGUAAAGGGUGCGUAGGUGGUCGGGUAAGUCUGAUGUGAAAUCUCCGAGCUUAACUCGGAAACUGCAUCGGAUACUAUUCGGCUCGAGGGUUGGAGGGGGGACUGGAAUACUUGGUGUAGCAGUGAAAUGCGUAGAUAUCAAGUGGAACACCAGUGGCGAAGGCGAGUCCCUGGACAACUCCUGACACUGAGGCACGAAAGCUAGGGGAGCAAACAGG